GUACUUGUACCGACUGGAUGAGCAGCGAACGGGUGAGUAACGCGUGGGGAAUCUGCCUUUGAGCGGGGGACAACAUUUGGAAACGAAUGCUAAUACCGCAUAAAAACUUUAAACACAAGUUUUAAGUUUGAAAGAUGCAAUUGCAUCACUCAAAGAUGAUCCCGCGUUGUAUUAGCUAGUUGGUGAGGUAAAGGCUCACCAAGGCGAUGAUACAUAGCCGACCUGAGAGGGUGAUCGGCCACAUUGGGACUGAGACACGGCCCAAACUCCUACGGGAGGCAGCAGUAGGGAAUCUUCGGCAAUGGACGAAAGUCUGACCGAGCAACGCCGCGUGAGUGAAGAAGGUUUUCGGAUCGUAAAACUCUGUUGGUAGAGAAGAACGUUGGUGAGAGUGGAAAGCUCAUCAAGUGACGGUAACUACCCAGAAAGGGACGGCUAACUACGUGCCAGCAGCCGCGGUAAUACGUAGGUCCCGAGCGUUGUCCGGAUUUAUUGGGCGUAAAGCGAGCGCAGGUGGUUUAUUAAGUCUGGUGUAAAAGGCAGUGGCUCAACCAUUGUAUGCAUUGGAAACUGGUAGACUUGAGUGCAGGAGAGGAGAGUGGAAUUCCAUGGGUU
rnacentral:rRNA from 1 species